UACGAAGGGGGCUAGCGUUGCUCGGAAUUACUGGGCGUAAAGGGCGCGUAGGCGGACAGUUUAGUCGGAGGUGAAAGCCCAGGGCUCAACCUUGGAAUUGCCUUUGAUACUGGCUGUCUUGAGUUCGGGAGAGGUGAGUGGAAUGCCGAGUGUAGAGGUGAAAUUCGUAGAUAUUCGGCGGAACACCAGUGGCGAAGGCGACUCACUGGCCCGAUACUGACGCUGAGGCGCGAAAGCGUGGGGAGCAAACAGG
rnacentral:rRNA from 1 species